GAUAACCGGCUUGCGGCAGCCAAGUGAUCGCAGGCAGCGACAUUGCUUUUCGACCCUUCGAUGUCGGCCCUUGUUAUCAUUGGGAAACAGCAUUCACCGAACGUUGGAUUGUUCACCCGCUAAUGGGGAACGCGAGCUGAGCUGUGACGGCUUUGCGACGGCGUU
rnacentral:ncRNA from 1 species